UAUAAUAUAUAUUUUACAAAUUAAUUAAGAUGGCCUCAUUUAAGCAAGCAUUUCUCUUUAUUGCUCUCUUUGUUGCAAUUUCAGUUAAUCUCUCUUGGGCACCAAAUAAGAUGCAAGUGAUGGCAUUACGAGACUUACCCGUUAAUGUUGCAGAGAUGAAAGGGAAAUUAUUUGAUACUAGUACUUGUGGUAAACGUUGCAACACCCGUAGUGAAUGUCAAGAAGGUUUUAUUUGUUCAAAUUGUGUUACAUUUGCGAAUUUGUUUUCUCAAUGUGUAUAACACAAGCGCACUAUUACUAGUGAAAUAUUAUUAUCGUCUUUCCAAGUUUGUGUAAGAAAAAUAAAUAUGUAACCUUAUAAAUUUUCCAUAUAUUGGAAAACUACAUAUUGAAAUAUAUAUAGGUUACAACUUAUAAAUAUAUGUAUUGGUAGCUUGUAUUCAUCCUAUAUGCAAUUCAUUAUUUAUCGUCAUGAUAGUAAAAAAAUAAAAUAUAUAGCCUUUUAUAUUA